rnacentral:lncRNA from 1 species
GUGGUCCACACUGAACUGUUGAAUAUUCACCAAAGCCAGCCCCGAUCAGGGCUGGCACGAGGGUUCUCAACAGCCAGCUUCUGACUCUGACAUCUACGAGUGUCCAGACAGCAAAGACACAGGCCGCGACAUACAGGAGCAGAGGUGCCUAGAACACACUGUCGCCCAAUGCCAGCCAUAAGUGGGGCUAUCUCAGGGUGCGGUGGGUGAAACCGUCCUGCAUCUCAGAGAUCCACAAGGUGGAGGUGGCAGUAGCGCUGGACUCCACUGCUUUGGAGCCUGCCCAGGAGAAGUUGGGAGCCAGCAAGAGUCCUGACAGCAGCACAUUGGCCACCAGAAGACACCCAAAGGACCUAUAAAAGGCACCGCCCAGCCCAAUGGACAGAUGCCCCAGGCUGCACAUUCUGUCAGUGCUGUUCUGCAAGAGGCCCAGACACACGCUGAAACAUCCAAGGUAAAACCAGCAAGCAGCUGACAUACAUUCCAUCAGCCGUCCCCCAAAACCCAUGUUCUCAACCAUUCGCAUUGUUCCAAU